CUUUACUGUAACUUGGCAGUGAGUUUCGGGCGGUUCUGCGUAGGAUAGGUGGGAGGCGUCGAGUCCGGGGUUCUGGCCUCGGAGGAGCCGACCUUGAAAUACCACCCUGAACUGUCUGGGAUUCUCACCCAGCCCCCUGACCGGGGGUGGGGACCCUGCCUGGCGGGCAGUUUGACUGGGGCGGUCGCCUCCCAAAACGUAACGGAGGCGCACGAAGGUCACCUCAGGCUGAUUGGAAACCAGCCGUAGCGUGCAAAGGCAGAAGGUGGCUUGACUGCGAGUCCGACAGGACGAGCAGGUGCGAAAGCAGGUCUUAGUGAUCCGGUGGUCCCGUAUGGAAGGGCCAUCGCUCAUCGGAUAAAAGGUA
rnacentral:rRNA from 1 species